rnacentral:rRNA from 1 species
CAAUAGCGUAUAUUAAAGUUGUUGCGGUUAAAAAGCUCGUAGUUGGAUUUCUGCUGAGGACGACCGGUCCGCCCUCCGGGUGAGCAUCUGGUUCGGCCUCGGCAUCCUCUCGAUAGACGUUUCUGCGCUUGAUUGCGUGGAGCGGAUUUCGGGACUUUUACUUUUGAGGAAAUUAGAGUGUUCACGGCAGGCAAUCGCCAGAAUACAUUAGCAUGGAAUAAUACUAUAGGAUCUCGGUUCUAUUUUGUUGGUUUCUAGACCCGGGGUAAUGAUUAAUAGGGACAAUUGGGGCGAUUUGUAUCAACACGUCAGAGGUGGAAUUCUUGGAUUGUGUUGCGACAAACUACUGCGAAAGCAUUUGCCAAGGAUGUUUUUCAUUGAUCAAGAACGAAAGUAAGGGGAUCGAAGAUGAUCAGAU